GACGAACGCUGGCGGCGUGCUUAACACAUGCAAGUCGAACGGAAAGGCCCUGCUUUUGUGGGGUGCUCGAGUGGCGAACGGGUGAGUAACACGUGAGUAACCUGCCCUUGACUUUGGGAUAACUUCAGGAAACUGGGGCUAAUACCGGAUAGGAGCUCCUGCUGCAUGGUGGGGGUUGGAAAGUUUCGGCGGUUGGGGAUGGACUCGCGGCUUAUCAGCUUGUUGGUGGGGUAGUGGCUUACCAAGGCUUUGACGGGUAGCCGGCCUGAGAGGGUGACCGGCCACAUUGGGACUGAGAUACGGCCCAGACGCCUACGGGAGGCAGCAGGGGGGAAUAUGGCACAAUGGGCGGAAGCCGGAUGCAGCAACGCCGCGUGCGGGAUGACGGCCGUCGGGUUGUAAACCGCUUUCGCCUGUGACGAAGCGUGAGUGACGGUAAUGGGUAAAGAAGCACCGGCUAACUACGUG
rnacentral:rRNA from 1 species